ACUCCUACGGGAGGCAGCAGUGGGGAAUAUUGGACAAUGGAGGAAACUCUGAUCCAGCAAUUCUGUGUGUGUGAAGAAGGUCUUCGGAUUGUAAAACACUUUUAGUUGGGAAGAAACAAAUGACGGUACCAACAGAAGAAGCGACGGCUAAAUACGUGCCAGCAGCCGCGGUAAUACGUAUGUCGCAAGCGUUAUCCGGAAUUAUUGGGCUUAAAGGGCAUCUAGGCGGUAUAACAAGUUGAAGGUGAAAAGCUGUAGCUCAACUAUAGUCUUGCCUACAAAACUGUAAUACUAGAGUACUGGAAAGGUGGGUGGAACUACACGAGUAGAGGUGAAAUUCGUAGAUAUGUGUAGGAAUGCCGAUGAUGAAGAUAACUCACUGGACAGAAACUGACGCUGAAGUGCGAAAGCUAGGGGAGCAAACAGGAUUAGAUACCCUUGUAGUCC
rnacentral:rRNA from 1 species